UACGGAGGGUGCAAGCGUUAUCCGGAUUCACUGGGUUUAAAGGGUGCGUAGGCGGGCAGGUAAGUCAGUGGUGAAAUCUCCGGGCUUAACCCGGAAACUGCCGUUGAUACUAUCAAUCUUGAAUAUCGCGUAGGUAAGCGGAAUAUGUCAUGUAGCGGUGAAAUGCUUAGAUAUGACAUAGAACACCAAUUGCGAAGGCAGCUUACUUCACGAUCAUUGACACUGAGGCACGAAAGCGUGGGGAGCAAACAGG
rnacentral:rRNA from 1 species